UGAAAAAAAGAAAAAGAAAUGAAAAAAAAGAUAAAGAAAAAAUAAGGCC
rnacentral:ribozyme from 14 species